AAAAAGACAAACCCUGGUUUCCGUGUCCAACGUUUGACCGUCCGUCUUAUUUGAAAAAAUUAUGAAAAAAAAUAAAAAGACAAAUCACACAUAAAAUAUUAAUCAUGUUUUAUCAUCUAACAACAAUGAAAAUACGAAUUAUAAAAAAAUUUCAUAUAAGACGGACAGUCAAAGUUGGACACGUAAACCUAGGGUUUGCCUUUUU
rfam:Oryza sativa Japonica Group DNA, chromosome 1, cultivar: Nipponbare, complete sequence.